UAGCUGGAAUUGCUCCGGAUCUACAGCCA
rnacentral:sRNA from 1 species